GUUGUAUAGUCAAGUAAUUAAGUGCAUGUGGUGGAUGCCUUGGCAGUCAGAGGCGAUGAAAGACGUGAUAGCCUGCGAAAAGCUCCGGGGAGGCGGCAAAUAUCCUUUGAUCCGGAGAUGUCUGAAUGGGGGAACCCACCUACUUUAAGGUAGGUAUUGCAACAUGAAUACAUAGUGUUGCAAGGCGAACGAGGGGAAGUGAAACAUCUCAGUACCCUUAGGAAAAGAAAUCAAUUGAGAUUCCCUCAGUAGCGGCGAGCGAACGGGG
rnacentral:rRNA from 3 species